rnacentral:lncRNA from 1 species
GAUUGAGGCAAACCUCAGACAUUAAAGGUUUUCGUAUUACUAUAGAUAAUAAAACACAUAGCAUCAAAAUAUCACAAUUAGCUGAUGAUACAACUCUGUUUUGUAGUUCAAAAUCAGAUAUAUCUAAAGCUAUGAAUAUAAUUGAAACAUUUGGCUCUUUCUCAGGGUUGAAGCUAAACCGUAAUAAAACAGAAGGAAUUUGGAUUGGGGCGCUUAAAAACAGCGUAGAUAAGAUUGAGGGCAUACGCUGGACAGACAAACCUGUCAAAGCUUUAGGCAUUUAUUUUGGUCACGAUAGACUUCAAUGUGAAAAGUUAAAUUGGGAACCUAAAAUAGAUAACAUGAAAUCAUUAAUUAAAACAUGGGAAAAAAGAAAAUUAACAAUGGUUGGGAAAAUAUUGAUCAUAAAAUCUUUAAUAUUACCAAAAUUUACAUUUUUGGCUACUUCGUGCAAAGUUCCAGAUAUUUACUUGAAAGAAAUUGAAAGCUGCUGUUUCAAAUAUAUUUGGGAAGGAAAAAAUGACAAAGUAAAAAGAAACACACUUAUUGGCGAAUACCAAAAAGGGGGGUUAAGAAUGAUCGAUUUUGACAGUUAUUUUACAGCACUGAAAGCCUCAUGGGUCUCUAAAUUAACAACAACCAAUAUGCCGAA